AUACGUAGGGCGCGAGCGUUGUUCGGAAUUACUGGGCGUAAAGCGCGUGUAGGUGGCCAGGUAAGUCAGGUGUGAAAGCCCUCGGCUCAACCGGGGAAGUGCACCUGAAACUGCCUGGCUAGAGGGCGGCAGAGGGAGGUGGAAUUCCUGGUGUAGAGGUGAAAUUCGUAGAUAUCAGGAGGAAUACCGGUGGCGAAGGCGGCCUCCUGGACCGUUCCUGACACUGAGACGCGAAAGCGUGGGGAGCAAACAGGAUUAGAAACCCCAGUAGUCC
rnacentral:rRNA from 1 species